rnacentral:rRNA from 1 species
CCUACGGGUUGCACCAGUGGGGAAUAUUGCACAAUGGGCGCAAGCCUGAUGCAGCCAUGCCGCGUGUAUGAAGAAGGCCUUAGGGUUGUAAAGUACUUUUAGUUGGGAGGAAGGCGUUGAUGCUAAUAUCAUCAACGAUUGACGUUACCAACAGAAGAAGCACCGGCUAACUCCGUGCCAGCAGCCGCGGUAAUACGGAGGGUGCAAGCGUUAAUCGGAAUUACUGGGCGUAAAGCGCACGCAAGCGGUUGAUUAAGUUAGAUGUGAAAUCCCCGGGCUUAACCUGGGAACUGCAUUCGAAACUGGCAGGCUAGAGUCUUGUAGGGGGGGGUAGAAUUUCAGGUGUAGCGGUGAAAUGCGUAGAGAUCUGAAGGAAUACCAGUGGCGAAGGCGGCCCUCUGGACAAAGACUGACGCUCAGAUGCGAAAGCGUGGGGAGCAAACAGGAUUAGAUACCCGUGUAGUC